GGGUUGUUAGCUCAGUCGGUAGAGCAGCUGCCUCUUAAGCGGAAGCGCAUAGGUUCAAGCCCUAUACAGCCCACCA
rnacentral:tRNA from 1 species